rnacentral:rRNA from 1 species
CCUACGGGUGGCAGCAGUGGGGAAUAUUGGACAAUGGGCGAAAGCCUGAUCCAGCCAUGCCGCGUGUGUGAAGAAGGCCUUCGGGUUGUAAAGCACUUUCAGUGGGGAAGAAAGCCUUGGGGCUAAUACCCUCGAGGAAGGACAUCACCCACAGAAGAAGCACCGGCUAACUCCGUGCCAGCAGCCGCGGGAAUACGGAGGGUGCGAGCGUUAAUCGGAAUUACUGGGCGUAAAGCGCGCGUAGGCGGUCUGAUAAGCCGGUUGUGAAAGCCCCGGGCUCAACCUGGGAACGGCAUCCGGAACUGUCAGGCUAGAGUGCAGGAGAGGAAGGUAGAAUUCCCGGUGUAGCGGUGAAAUGCGUAGAGAUCGGGAGGAAUACCAGUGGCGAAGGCGGCCUUCUGGACUGACACUGACGCUGAGGUGCGAAAGCGUGGGUAGCAAACAGGAUUAGAUACCCUGGUAGUC